UGACCAUUCUUGUGGCUUCCCUUUGCUUCCCCAUCAAAAAGUCAUUUUUCUGCAGGGAAGCAAAGAAAUCUGUGGGGAAAAUAAAUUCUGCACAUGUGAGUGGCGCAGAAUUCCUGCAGGAGUAAGAAGCAGAAUGAGACU